AUGCUUCCUGACACCUGCUCAGUUCUGCUGCUCCUCUUCAUGCUCAGAAAGAUCAAUGCAGAUUCAGUGACCCAGACAGAAGGCCGGGUCACUGUCACAGAGGGAUUGCCUGUGAUGAUGAACUGCACCUAUCAGACUGCCUAUUCUCCUUUCCUUUUCUGGUACGUGCAAUAUCUCAACAAAGCCCCUCAGCUACUCCUGAGGAGUGCCACAGACAACCAGAGGACAGAGCACCAAGGGUUCCAGGCCACUCUCCAGAAGAGCAGCAGCUCCUUCCCCCUGCAGAAGUCCUCAGUGCUGCUGGCAGACUCUGCCCUGUACUACUGUGCUCUGAGUGCCACACAUUCAGUUAGUGAAGCUGCUCAGGAAACACAGCUGUUGGAACUCCCAAGAUGA